ensembl:lncRNA
UCCUGUUUUUGCCUUCCCUUCCCCAUUUUUCUGCAAGUAUUUGAUUAAUAUGGGAAUUAUGGUUAUAACAAAGUUUUGCUUACCAAAGAAGAUUGGGGGAGAUAAAUUUGGCACUACUAUAUAUAAAACAAACAACAAGGACCUACUGGGAACUGUAUUCAAUAUCUUUUAAUAACCUAUCAUAGGAAGGAAUGUGAAAAACAGACAUUUACAUGUAUAACUGAAUCCUGUUGUACACUGAAACACACUACACUGUGAAUUAACUAUACUUCAAUUAAAAACAUUUUUAAAGAGGGAGAAUGUGGAAAAAAUUGGGAAUUAUAUUUUCCUCAUAACGUUUGGUUUAUCUUGCUUAGGAACCCUGGGUGGCCUGGACUCUUCUCUGUAGGAAGACUUUGAGCUACUUCUUCAUUUUGUUUUUAAACAAUUUUCCCUGCACAAGGACAAAUAGGUACCUCCCCAGGACUCUCCAUGGCCGGAAGCAGACUGCAAGCGGUCUCGGGUCUCUGGAGAACCCACAUUAAGAUUGGGCCGGGCCGGGCCUGGCGGGGGAGUAAACCACGUGACCACACAGAGCGCCUCAGGGCCGACGCCCCCUCCUCCGGAAGCCGUGUUCUGACGUCGCCAUGCGGCAACUUCCUGCAGGACCUCGACGGAGCCUAUUGCAUUCUGGGACACGCGUGGCUACGCUCGGAUUUUAGAGCGUCGGUGUAGGGCGUGUCUCCCCGCGGUGCCCUGUGUACACGUUCUCCUGCCAGCUCAAACAUCUUUUCCAUUUAUAAAGAGGCGGGGUUCUAUUUCCUGCGAGCAAGGAGUUGCCAGAGGAUGGUGUCAGUUUAGGUACUGCUAAACUUAAUGCAACCAGAUCUGGGGCCUGAGACUAAUUCGAGGCUCACAAGACGGUCUAAGUGCUACUACUUCCUCCCCACAUCCCGGGCUUCCGAAGGAUCACGUGACCGAUGGCUAGCUCAGCUGUCACGUGAUGCGUCGCGUGUCGUUUUUGCGCUGGAGACUACUAGCUCACGGGGGUGUGUGUCUUUGUCUCCGCUCCCGCCCUGGUCCCGUUUUUUUGCCGCAUGCACAGCACACGAUUGCUUCCUGCGUUAUCACUCAAACUCCACUUCCACCGUUUCUUUCUCACAGGUACAGAGACGCACACCUGGCCGUCUGUCCCUCUUGGGCUCUGGAGGAGAAGGUGAUGGAGAAACUGGCCGUCAGAGGAGUUAGGACAAAAGUUUUUGCCUGCGUCUGUUGAGAGUGGCGUGAUCAUCAUACCGAGGGUGGGAGGAAGGGUUCCACAGCCCCGCGGCGCUGCUAGGGAUUCGGCUUUGUGCUUUGGCGAGAGCCUGUGCUAGAGAGGGGAGCGCACGUCUUUGCGAUUCAUAAUGGGGCCAUGUCAACUUCUGUCUUCCUUGGGACUUCUUGGCUGUGUGUCGGGGUCCCAGAUGCCCUGGGAAAUAAUUCUUUUUUUUUUUCUGAGCCACAUCUGUGGCCUACACUGUAGCUUUCAGCAAUGCCAGAUCCUUAACCCACUGAGUGAGGUCAGGGAUUGAACCCUUAUCCUCACAAAGACAAUGUCAAGUCCUUAACCUGCUGAGCCACAAUGGGAACUCUAUGUAGUGGGUUUUUAGUUUUUUUGUUUUUUUGUUUUUGUUUUUGGUGUGGUUUUAUAGUAUACCAUGAUACAGGUAUACUAUAAAUUUUUUAACCAGUCCCUAUUGACUGGCAUUCAGGAUCUUUCCAAUAUUUUGCCUAUUAUGAACGAUGCUGUAAUGAAAAGUUGUUUUUGUAAUUGUGCAAAUUUAUGAUGACCUAAAUUUCUAGAAGUUAGUUUAUAAUGAUCUAAAUUUAUACAAGUUAGUCUAUGUAAAAAAUUAUAUGCAUUUGAUUUUUUUUUUACACAAAUAAUUGCUUGGAUUUUUCUUGGCACUGCAUUUAAUCCAUAGAUCAAAUAGAAGAGAAUUGACAUUUUUAUAUUUAUUUAUUUAUUUACUUAUUUAUUUUGUCUUUUUUUGGCUUUUCUAGGGCUGCUCCUGCGGCAUAUGGAGGUUUCCAUGCUAGGGGUCGAAUUGGAGCUGUAGCCACUGGCCUACACCACAGCCACAGCAACAUGGGAUCCGAACCGCGUCUGCAACCUACACCACAGCUCACACCAAUGCCGGAUCCUUAACCCACUGAGCAAGGCCAGGGAUCGAACCCACAACCUCGUGGUUUCUAGUCGGAUGCGUUAACCACUGCACCACGACAGGAACUCCACAAAUUAUAUGCAUUUGAAGUGUCAAUAGACAAGUGUCAAACUGCUAACUGUAAUUUAGCCUUUUUUUUUCUAGGGAUGAACUCUGAAGCAUAUGGAAGUUCCCAGGCUAGUGGUCAAAUCAGAGCUACAGCUGCCAGCCUACACCACAACUGCAGCAAUGCCAGAUCCAAGUCUCGUCUGUAACCUAUACCACAGCUCACAGCAACACUGGGUCCUUAACCCACUGAACAAGGCCAGGGAUUGGACCCAGAUUCUCAUGGAUACUAGUUGGAUUCAUUACCUCUGAGCCACAAUGGGAACUCUCCAGAGCUAUUUAUAUUUUGUUUUCUUGGAACCCAUUGCAAAUCCUUGCUUGUUUUUCUUUUGAUUUGUUUUAUUCAUUGUGGGUUUUUGUUUUUAUUUUUUUGCCACACUCAUGGUAUGCGGAAGUUCCUCAGCCAGGGAUUGAACUCGCGCCACAGUUACAACUAGAGCCACAGCAGUGACAAAACCAGAUCCUCAAACCCACAGAACCAGAGGAACUCCCUCAUUUGUUUUUUAUUUUUAUUUUUAUUUUUUUUAGGGCUGCACAUGUGGCACAUGGAAGUUCCCAGGCUAGGGGUCGAAUUGGAGCUGCAACUGCUGGCCUAUGCCACAACCACAGCCAUGCAGGAUCUGAGCCUUGACUGUGACUUAAGCCACAGCAACGCUGGAUACUUAACCCACCGAGCAAGGCCAGGGCUGGAACCUGCAUUCUCAUGGCUACUAGUCAGGUUCAUAACUGCUGAGCCACAACAGAAACUCCGUUAUUUGUUUUUAAUAACACAUUUUGCCUCUUUCUUUUUAAAAAAUUAAAUUUAUAAAGAUAUAUUUAAAACAAUAAAAUGAUAAAAUUGAGUACUUUCGGAAGCCUUAUUAUGGAAAAUCCAAAAAUAGAGCUAAAUUUCUUCAGCAACAAGCAAGUGUUUAAUUUAACUAUAUAGCUUGAUACUUGAUCAACUGAAAAACCUUAAGAAUACAACUCAUGGUAAAAACAAAAUCCAUCAUUAAGAAGGCCAUGCUUGAAAAUAAAUCAGGGAUCUAAGAAAGUAGGCAAAAGGCAGAGGAAAUUUAAUUUAGAAUGGACUUUGAGAAAGAAGUAAUGAAGAAAUCUGGAAAAUGUUAUAAGUUUCUGAGGAUAAAGAUAAGAAAUUAGUACAGGAAUUCCUGCUGUGGUGCAAUGGGAUCAGUGGCAUCUGCAGGUUCAAUCACCACCUCCAGCAUAGUGAGUUAAAGAUCCCACAUUGGAGUUCCCAUCGUGGCUCAGUGGUUAACGAAUCCUACUAGGAACCAUGAGGUUGCGUGUUCGAUACCUGCCCUUUAUCAGUGGGGUAACGAUCUGGUGUUGCCGUGAGCUGUGGGGUAGGGUGCAGACGCAGCUCGGAUCCUGGGUUGUUGUGGCUCUGGCGGAGCCUGGCAGCUACAGUGCCGAUUAGACCCCUAGCCUGGGAACCUCCAUAUGCCAUGGGAGCGGCCCAAGAAAUGGAAAAAAGACAAAAAAAAAAAAAAAAAAAA